rnacentral:lncRNA from 1 species
UGCAAAUCCACAUUUCAAAAGCAAGAUAAUUUAUCCUGAGAAAGCAGGAAGGUGUUAAGAAAUCCUCAGUACUGCUCUUUCCCUCCCAUCCCAACGCCCGCCACCCCAUUACACAUGAAGACACAAAUUGUGCAGUGCGGCUUCCUCGGGCAGCUCAUUCCACUGAAUGCAUUUAUUUAGAAUAAUCUUCUCAUUAUUGACUGUUAUUUGCUUAAAUGUCAGCACCGUGCAAAGCCCAACAGCUCUGACCUAUGAAUUAUUAACAGAAGAAGGGAGCCUUAACAUUUUCCUAUCAGAAAGUUCACCUGUUGCUCUGUAUUCCCCAUGAUGAAAGCACCGCUAAGAGCAGCGUUACCUUUCCAGAGCAGAUGGCCUCGUGUGGGCAUUCCAAAUGCCUCUGCCCUGCACUACAGCUGCAAAGGAGUUUCCGGAGACUGCUGUGCUAGGUGGAUGUGAGAACACUGCUCCAGCAGGAAAGGAAGUUGUAAAUACUUCAGGACAUGGGAUCAACCAACACAAUGGGGCCUCUGUCUUGACGAGAGCCUCUCGCUGCUACUGUAAAGCAAGUCUGAUACCACCACCUAUGAGUGUGCCUGGCUUCCCCUUCCAUUAGAUGGGAAAUCAACAUCUGUUAACAUGACCCAAGUGCAGUUCUUCAUACAGCAACAGGGUGGUUGCUGCCCUUUUCUCGGAGAUGCUGAUCACUCCUAUUUAAUGUCAAGCUGUCAGGGUCCAUAAAAAGGAAUUAAAACAGUGGAAGAAAGGGUGGAGCAGCCACAAUCACUGAAAACAGAUGUUUCCUGGACUAUCUUUUCACAGUAAACAUGACAGUAAAGGCUGGGACAGUGAGACAGCACCAAGAGAGGUACGCAAUAGACUUUGUCUGACUGUGUUCCUUGUUUCCAUUUAUAGAUGGAAACACUGGGGGGGAAGCAGAUAGGAGGGCAGUUUUGGUUUAGAUUCACUGACGUGACACCACAGAGCCUUAUUAAAGGAAUGUUAACAUUUUGGGUGGGGAAACCAUUCAAAAGAAACAAAUAGGAGCAUUAAGCAGACAUUCAGUGUUGACCUGCAACAUUGCAGUUUUGUCUCCCAGGCAGAUUUACCUAAAACGUUUAAGACGUUAGUUUACUGUAAAGACUGGGAUUUUUAACAGGGAAAUUCCAAUGUUGUUAUACCAAAGACUCUGUAGGGAGAGAGACUGUGCACAGGGCAAAAAGCACCCCUCUACAGAGGGCAAGCCCAAACCCUGUCUGCCACGUAUGUCCCACGUAAGCCUUCAAAACAGGAUUUAAAUAAUGCAAAGGCUUUGGGCUGCUCCUCUGAAC